rnacentral:snRNA from 1 species
AGAAUUCACCAAGUGUUG